rnacentral:rRNA from 4 species
GCAGAAUUCCGCGAAUCAUCGAGUCUUUGAACGCAAGUNGCGCCCGANGCUUGUCCAAGGGCAUUUCCGCUAGAGCGUCACC